GAUGAACGCUGGCGGCGUGCCUAAUACAUGCAAGUAGAACGCUGAAGGAGGAGCUUGCUCUUCUGGAUGAGUUGCGAACGGGUGAGUAACGCGUAGGUAACCUGCCUGGUAGCGGGGGAUAACUAUUGGAAACGAUAGCUAAUACCGCAUGACAACAGUUAUUGCAUGAUAACUGUUUAAAAGGGGCAACUGCUCCACUACCAGAUGGACCUGCGUUGUAUUAGCUAGUUGGUGAGGUAACGGCUCACCAAGGCGACGAUACAUAGCCGACCUGAGAGGGUGAUCGGCCACACUGGGACUGAGACACGGCCCAGACUCCUACGGGGGGCAGCAGUAGGGAAUCUUCGGCAAUGGACGGAAGUCUGACCGAGCAACGCCGGGGGAGUGAAGAAGGUUUUCGGAUCGUAAAGCUCUGUUGUAAGAGAAGAACGAGUGUGAGGGUGGAAAGUUCACCCUGUGACGGUAUUUUACCAGAAAGGGACGGCUAACUCCGU
rnacentral:rRNA from 1 species